CGAGAGAAGGGAAGUUUGUCGUAACUUAAUAAAUACUAUUUUGCUUUCCCUGGAGAGCUGCUGAUGUCUAUGUUCAGAAUGAGUAUUCUUCCUCUGGUCAGCUCAAGUGUCAUAGCAGGUCUUGCUGGAAUGGACACCAAAACAACUGCUAAAAUUGGUCUGCGAUCCAUGGCUUACUGCCUGAGCAGCGCAAGUACUGCAAUAGCAGUAGGUGCACACAAGCUUCUGAUGCAGUUUUACAUGAUUUGUGUAAGAUCACGAAGGGAACAAAUAGUGGUGG